UUCCAGAGCAAGCCAAGGCCACCA
rnacentral:siRNA from 1 species